GCACAGGAAGAGGAAAAGCAGGCCAUCUGUGCACGUAGGAAAACAGCACCGGGACAAAAAUAGUUAAGCUGGUGAGGGAAGCAAUACGAGUCUAAGAAACUGCGGAUCCGCUGAGCGAGGCUGCCUGUCUUUCCCCUUGUUUGAACGGACCUUUCGGUUUCUCAGGUAAGUCAAGAACACGCCUUCUGAACUGGGCUCUCAGGAAGCCACUGUUGAACUAACUAAGGCCAUCCACUUCCGUUCGAAGGGAAUAAGAAUUUUAGUCAAUAAUGAGGAGGAGCUCCGCUGGGUUGUUCUCUGUCGUGGUCUCCAGCAGUGACCCAGAUGAAAUAACCACUGCAACACUGACUACUCGAUCUGCCGGCUUGAAAGACUCCAGACCGGUGACUUUAUGGAUUAUGAUUCACCUUCCCUGUCCUGUUUUGAUGAGACACCACGACGGAACCAUCCCUGUCAAUAUAAGUUUCCAGUUUCCACCCUGUCAAUUCGCCCUGUACUAAUUGGCGCGCAGGUGAGAUUUCCUGUCGCCAUUUUAAGCAGACACGAGUCCCUCACAAGGAAGUGCCCAGUUAGAAGGGGCUGUGCUUGAAACAAAGAGUAGGCUGAAGAAAGAGAACCGGGCCCAGCAGCUCCCGCCCUCCAUCCUUCUCCCGCAUCCUCCAACGCUCCCAGUCCGGACUUGGGAGGGCCGGGAACGCCGCAGCCCUCGGGGCGGAGUAACGCGGAAUCUCCACUCUCGGCCUCUUCGCGCCUAGACAG
rnacentral:lncRNA from 1 species